GAUGAACGCUGGCGGCGUGCCUAAUACAUGCAAGUCGAGCGAACGGACGAGAAGCUUGCUUCUCUGACGUUAGCGGCGGACGGGUGAGUAACACGUGGAUAACCUACCUAUAAGACUGGGAUAACUUCGGGAAACCGGAGCUAAUACCGGAUAAUAUAUUGAACCGCAUGGUUCAAAAGUGAAAGACGGUCUUGCUGUCACUUAUAGAUGGAUCCGCGCUGCAUUAGCUAGUUGGUAAGGUAACGGCUUACCAAGGCAACGAUGCGUAGCCGACCUGAGAGGGUGAUCGGCCACACUGGAACUGAGACACGGUCCAGACUCCUACGGGAGGCAGCAGUAGGGAAUCUUCCGCAAUGGGCGAAAGCCUGACGGAGCAACGCCGCGUGAGUGAUGAAGGUCUUCGGAUCGUAAAACUCUGUUAUUAGGGAAGAACAUAUGUGUAAGUAACUGUGCACGUCUUGACGGUACCUAAUCAGAAAGCCACGGCUAACUACGUG
rnacentral:rRNA from 1 species